UACGUAGGGUGCGAGCGUUGUCCGGAAUUACUGGGCGUAAAGAGCUCGUAGGUGGUUUGUCGCGUUGUUCGUGAAAACCUGAGGCUUAACCUUGGGCGUGCGGGCGAUACGGGCAGACUGGAGUACUGCAGGGGAGACUGGAAUUCCUGGUGUAGCGGUGGAAUGCGCAGAUAUCAGGAGGAACACCGGUGGCGAAGGCGGGUCUCUGGGCAGUAACUGACGCUGAGGAGCGAAGCGUGGGGAGCGAACAGG
rnacentral:rRNA from 1 species